GGAGGGAUCAUUACUGAGUUUACGCUCUACAACCCUUUGUGAACAUACCUAUAACUGUUGCUUCGGCGGGCAGGGUCUCCGUGACCCUCCCGGCCUCCCGCCCCCGGGCGGGUCGGCGCCCGCCGGAGGAUAACCAAACUCUGAUUUAACGACGUUUCUUCUGAGUGGUACAAGCAAAUAAUCAAAACUUUUAACAACGGAUCUCUUGGUUCUGGCAUCGAUGAAGAACGCAGCGAAAUGCGAUAAGUAAUGUGAAUUGCAGAAUUCAGUGAAUCAUCGAAUCUUUGAACGCACAUUGCGCCCGCCAGCAUUCUGGCGGGCAUGCCUGUUCGAGCGUCAUUUCAACCCUCAAGCUCUGCUUGGUGUUGGGGCCCUACAGCCGAUGUAGGCCCUCAAAGGUAGUGGCGGACCCUCCCGGAGCCUCCUUUGCGUAGUAACUUUACGUCUCGCACUGGGAUCCGGAGGGACUCUUGCCGUAAAACCCCCAAUUCUCCAAAGGUUGACCUCGGAUCAGGUAGGAAUACCCGCUG
rnacentral:rRNA from 1 species